rnacentral:rRNA from 1 species
AGAGUUUGAUCCUGGCUCAGGAUGAACGCUAGCGACAGGCUUAACACAUGCAAGUCGAGGGGCAGCACAGGUAGCAAUACCGGGUGGCGACCGGCGCACGGGUGAGUAACGCGUAUGCAACUUACCUAUCAGAGGGGGAUAACCCGGCGAAAGUCGGACUAAUACCGCAUGAAGCAGGGGCCCCGCAUGGGGAUAUUUGCUAAAGAUUCAUCGCUGAUAGAUAGGCAUGCGUUCCAUUAGGCAGUUGGCGGGGUAACGGCCCACCAAACCGACGAUGGAUAGGGGUUCUGAGAGGAAGGUCCCCCACAUUGGUACUGAGACACGGACCAAACUCCUACGGGAGGCAGCAGUGAGGAAUAUUGGUCAAUGGGCGUAAGCCUGAACCAGCCAAGUCGCGUGAGGGAUGAAGGUUCUAUGGAUCGUAAACCUCUUUUAUAAGGGAAUAAAGUGCGGGACGUGUCCCGUUUUGUAUGUACCUUAUGAAUAAGGAUCGGCUAACUCCGUGCCAGCAGCCGCGGUAAUACGGAGGAUCCGAGCGUUAUCCGGAUUUAUUGGGUUUAAAGGGUGCGUAGGCGGCCUUUUAAGUCAGCGGUGAAAGUCUGUGGCUCAACCAUAGAAUUGCCGUUGAAACUGGGGGGCUUGAGUAUGUUUGAGGCAGGCGGAAUGCGUGGUGUAGCGGUGAAAUGCUUAGAUAUCACGCAGAACCCCGAUUGCGAAGGCAGCCUGCCAAGCCAUGACUGACGCUGAUGCACGAAAGCGUGGGGAUCAAACAGGAUUAGAUACCCUGGUAGUCCACGCAGUAAACGAUGAUCACUAGCUGUUUGCGAUACAGUGUAAGCGGCACAGCGAAAGCGUUAAGUGAUCCACCUGGGGAGUACGCCGGCAACGGUGAAACUCAAAGGAAUUGACGGGGGCCCGCACAAGCGGAGGAACAUGUGGUUUAAUUCGAUGAUACGCGAGGA